AGGCGAUUCUCUGGACCGUAACUGACGCUGAGGCACGAAAGCGUGGGUAGCAAACAGGAUUAGAUACCCUGGUAGUCCACGCCGUAAACGAUGAGUACUAGGUGUAGGAGGUAUCGACCCCUUCUGUGCCGCAGUAAACACAAUAAGUACUCCGCCUGGGAAGUACGAUCGCAAGAUUAAAACUCAAAGGAAUUGACGGGGGCCCGCACAAGCAGCGGAGCAUGUGGUUUAAUUCGAAGCAACGCGAAGAACCUUACCUGGACUUGACAUACCCUGAAUAUCUUAGAGAUAAGAGAAGCCCUUCGGGGCAGGGAUACAGGUGGUGCAUGGUUGUCGUCAGCUCGUGUCGUGAGAUGUUAGGUUAAGUCCCGCAACGAGCGCAACCCCUAUUAUUAGUUGCUAACAUUAAGUUGAGCACUCUAGUGAGACUGCCCGGGUUAACCGGGAGGAAGGUGGGGAUGACGUCAAAUCAUCAUGCCCCUUAUGUCUAGGGCUACACACGUGCUACAAUGGUGGGAACAAAGAGAUGCAAUACCGCGAGGUGGAGCCAAACUCAAAACCCCAUCCCAGUUCGGAUUGUAGGCUGAAACUCGCCUACAUGAAGCUGGAGUUGCUAGUAAUCGCGAAUCAGAAUGUCGCGGUGAAUACGUUCCCGGGCCUUGUACACACCGCCCGUCACACCAUGAGAGUCGGCAACACCCGAAGCCCGUGAGGCAACCUUUUGGAGCCAGCGGUCGAAGGUGGGGUUGAUGAUUGGGGUGAAGUCGUAACAAGGUAGCCGUAGGAGAA
rnacentral:rRNA from 1 species